GCUGUAGCUCAGUGGUAGAACACUUGCUUUGCAUCCAGAAAGUAAUCCAAGUUCAGUUCUUGGCAUUGCA